UACGGGGGGAGCAAGCGUUGUUCGGAUUUACUGGGCGUAAAGGGCGCGUAGGCGGCCAGCACAGGUCGGUUGUGAAAUCUCCGGGCUUAACUCGGAAAGGUCAACCGAUACUGUGCGGCUAGAGUGCGGAAGGGGCAACUGGAAUUCUCGGUGUAGCGGUGAAAUGCGCAGAUAUCAGGAGGAACACCGGUGGCGAAGGCGGUUCUCUGGGCCUGUUCUGACGCUGAGGAGCGAAAGCGUGGGGAGCGAACAGG
rnacentral:rRNA from 1 species